UCAUGGGCUGGAUUACUAGUGAACCACACAGAGAGUUGUUCAAGACAACCAAGAGCCAGUGGAUUGACUUCAUUAAGACAUCACCAAAUGACAAGCAAUUUGUUCAGGAUAUUGGGAUCAGGCAUACUACAUAUUGCAAGUAUGGAUCACACCCUGUAACUGUUCAUUCCAACCUUGCAGCUACUGACAAGUCCAACUUCACCUGCAC